rnacentral:rRNA from 1 species
AACGAACGCUGGCGGCAUGCCUAACACAUGCAAGUCGAACGAGACCUUCGGGUCUAGUGGCGCACGGGUGCGUAACGCGUGGGAACCUGCCCUUAGGUUCGGAAUAACUCCCCGAAAGGGGUGCUAAUACCGGAUAAUGUCUUCGGACCAAAGAUUUAUCGCCUUUGGAUGGGCCCGCGUUGGAUUAGCUAGUUGGUAGGGUAAAAGCCUACCAAGGCGACGAUCCAUAGCUGGUCUGAGAGGAUGAUCAGCCACACUGGGACUGAGACACGGCCCAGACUCCUACGGGAGGCAGCAGUGGGGAAGAUUGGACAAUGGGCGAAAGCCUGAUCCAGCAAGGCCGCGUGAGUGAUGAAGGCCUUAGGGUUGUAAAGCUCUUUUACCCGGGAUGAUAAUGACAGGACCGGGAGAAUAAGCUCCGGCUAACUCCGU